rnacentral:rRNA from 1 species
CCUACGGGAGGCAGCAGUGGGGAAUAUUGCACAAUGGGGGAAACCCUGAUGCAGCAACGCCGCGUGAGUGAAGAAGGUUUUCGGAUUGUAAAGCUCUGUUAGCAGGGAAGAGGAAGGACGGUACCUGCAGAGGAAGCCACGGCUAACUACGUGCCAGCAGCCGCGGUAAUACGUAGGUGGCAAGCGUUGUUCGGAAUAACUGGGCGUAAAGGAUGCGUAGGCGGUUAAACAAGUUAUAUGUUAAAUAUAUAGGCUUAACCUGUAGAAAGCAUAUAAAACUGUUUAACUAGAGUGCAGGAGAGGUAAGUGGAAUUCCUAGUGUAGCGGUGAAAUGCGUAGAGAUUAGGAAGAACACCAGUGGCGAAGGCGACUUACUGGACUGUAACUGACGCUGAGGCAUGAGAGCAUGGGGAGCAAACAGGAUUAGAUACCCUUGUAGUC